rnacentral:rRNA from 1 species
GAUGAACGCUGGCGGCGUGCCUAAUACAUGCGAGUCGAGCGAACAGACGAGGAGCUUGCUCCUCUGACGUUAGCGGCGGACGGGUGAGUAACACGUGGAUAACCUACCUAUAAGACUGGGAUAACUUCGGGAAACCGGAGCUAAUACCGGAUAAUAUAUUGAACCGCAUGGUUCAAUAGUGAAAGACGGUUUUGCUGUCACUUAUAGAUGGAUCCGCGCCGCAUUAGCUAGUUGGUAAGGUAACGGCUUACCAAGGCAACGAUGCGUAGCCGACCUGAGAGGGUGAUCGGCCACACUGGAACUGAGACACGGUCCAGACUCCUACGGGAGGCAGCAGUAGGGAAUCUUCCGCAAUGGGCGAAAGCCUGGCGGAGCAACGCCGCGUGAGUGAUGAAGGUCUUCGGAUCGUAAAACUCUGUUAUUAGGGAAGAACAAAUGUGUAAGUAACUAUGCACGUCUUGACGGUACCUAAUCAGAAAGCCACGGCUAACUACGUG